rnacentral:lncRNA from 1 species
CUUUCAUUCUCUUCUAUCAAAAGUCUGGAAAUGGAAAUGCCUACUACAGUUGUGCUUUGGAGUGAAGUUGGUUUGCCUCUCAGAUGAUGAUCUAGGUUAAGCAGGUUGGCAUGAAGACUGUGGGUCUGGGCAGUCCAAUCAAGGCAGGCAAUCAAAAAAGGAGAAGCUGAGGCCAGAAGCUGAAAUUUGAAUUAAAGUAUCAUUUGGACAAAAGCCAGGUGGGAACUUAUAAACUGAAUUGCACGUCAUGCUCAGCACAUCCCAAGUCCUGCAGUGCAGCUACACAACGAUGUAUUUGCGAGGCUGACAUGAGGCUUGGGAGUUGGCCUCUAAUCAAACAGGUAUGAUCUACAUUUUUACUGUCUUCCUAUAUAUUCCCAAGGCUUUAGGCACAUGACUCUAGUCAAAGACAGUUUUUGCUAUGGCAAUUUUAUUUGCCAACAUACAUUAGAAUAAUGAAAAGUUAUAUACUUAUCCCCACCUCUUUCUGAAACCAGCUGUUAAACCAGUUGCACACAAUUGUAAAUAC